UUUACGAAGUUUUGUUUGAAAUUGUUCAUUUUCACUGAAUAGAAGAUCAUUUGUAUCCGUAAAAA
rnacentral:tRNA from 1 species